ACACCAUAGUCACUGCCCUCCCGUUCGCUGAAAUGAAACCCUAAUUCCAACCUGUGUGCGGGUGCGCCAUGGUCUCGCCGCAGCAGCCGGCGGCGGCGAAGAAACCCACACCACUCCCCCCGACGACCAUAAGCGCCCUCGACCUAGACACCCUGCGCGAGAUCUUCCUCUGCCUCCCCUCUCUCCCGAGCCUCGUCCGCGCCGCCCUCAGCUGCCACACCUUCCUGGACGCCGUCCGUUCGUCGCCCGCUUUCCGCCGCCGGUUCCGUGCGCUCCACCCACCCCCGCUCCUAGGCCACUUCCUCACCACCCAAGACACCACCAUCCGUACUUUCGUGCCUCUCCGCAGCCGCUCCGACCCGGACAUCGCGGCGGCGGUACGCGGCGGCGAUUUCUUCCUCACCCGCCUCCCGGUCCCCGAAGACGACGGCGCCGUGUCCAUUCCUGCACCCGUCUCCGCCCCCGAAGACAGCGAGGGUGGCGUGUCCGUUCCUGUCCCCGCUCCCGCACCCGAAGACGACGACAUGGAUGCCAUCUUCGGCUUCGAAGACGACGACGAGGAUCCCGUCCCCGAGGAUCCUGUCCCCGAGUGGUCGAUCGAUGACUGCCGUGACGGAUUCGUUGUUCUCGACAACUGGAGCACUCAGCAGAUCGCCGUCUACAACCCGCUCGCGCGGACACUGGAUCUCUUCCCCCUGCCUCCCCGCCAGGAGCACUCCAAGGACUGCGAGCGCCAGUAUUCUGAUUACUACAUCCUCGCCGAAAAAGAAGAAGACUCCUUGCCGUACCGCGUCGUGUGCGUCUGGCACAGCGAACAUGGGGCGCGCGCCAUGGUCUUAUCAUCGGACACCAGCAACUGGCAGAUUUUCCCAUGGGCGGACAUCGACGGGUUCUGGCCUGGCAAUGGUAAGAUGGUUAAUGGCUGCAUCUAUUGGACCAAUGGGAUGACGGAUGCGCGCGUGCUUAACACUGCUACAAUGCAAUUCUCUCGGAUGGAUAAGCCGCCGCGCAUGAGAGGGCAUGAGGUAUUGACGGCUGGUGAGACCAAGGAUGGAAGACUCUGUGUGGUCUGCGCACCUUUGGGGCCACUGACAUUUGAAUCCGUGCUUGCCGUUUGGAUCCGGAGAGCCGAUGAUGAUGGCGUCGAGAGGUGGAUGUUGGACAAGUCACUCCCGUUGCAGGAGAUAGCUGGAAUCGUUCGAUGUGGAUUCAGGCAGGAUAAUGUUCAAUUUCAAGUGAGUGUUAGGGCGAUUAUUGGUGGCUUUGUGUACUUCUCUGCUUAUUGUGGGGUGUUGCCCCAUGAUCAUUCGGAUCUCUGGCUCCUAUCCUUCUGCGUGGAAACGGCGGCGCUGAACAAGCUUGGUCGCAUCUUUCGUGGUGUUUCCUAUCCCUACAUCAUGGCGUGGCCUCGUUCUUUGGUUGGUACACAACAAGGUGACUAAGCCGAUAAAACAACCUCCACAUACAUUCCUUUUGGUAAGGUAACAAUUUGGUGAGGCUCAGAAUGUAUCAUAAAUAGAUUUUGAGGGGCGAAGAUGGUGAAUUGUGAAGUGCGUCCUCGCCGUAGUGGGGGCUCUGGUUCGUUCAUGGAAGGUGAUAUGCGUCGGUACUCAAGCAAUGUUACUCCUCAAGUGUCUUCAGCUACUUGACUGUCUCCUUAGGAUAGCUUGGUAUUGAUUAGGUUCUUUGUAUCAUUCAGAACACUAUUGCGGCUAAGUGAUUGCUUGUAAUAAAUUUUUGCUGCAGCUAAUUUCUGGUUGUGUUUGAGAGCUGCUUAACAUUUUAUGUGGUUGGACUGUUGUGCCUUGGCUUUUUCAAUAAAAAGUUUGGACGGGGGGAAACCUCUUUGAUUUU